rnacentral:rRNA from 1 species
UACAGAGGGUGCAAGCGUUAAUCGGAAUUACUGGGCGUAAAGCGUGCGUAGACGGUUACGUAAGUCGGGUGUGAAAUCCCCGGGCUCAACCUGGGAACUGCAUUCGAUACUGGAUGGCUUGAAUCCGGGAGAGGGAUGCAGAAUUCCAGGUGUAGCGGUGAAAUGCGUAGAUAUCUGGAGGAAUACCGGUGGCGAAGGCAGCUCGCUGGGACGGUACUGACGCUGAGACGCGAAAGCGUGGGGAGCGAACGAGG